GGGGCAAAGUGACAGGUGGUGCAUGGUUGUCGUCAGCUCGUGUCGUGAGAUGUUGGGUUAAGUCCCGCAACGAGCGCAACCCUUAUUGUUAGUUGCCAUCAUUCAGUUGGGCACUCUAGCAAGACUGCCGGUGACAAACCGGAGGAAGGUGGGGAUGACGUCAAAUCAUCAUGCCCCUUAUGACCUGGGCUACACACGUGCUACAAUGGGAAGUACAACGAGUUGCGAAGUCGCGAGGCUAAGCUAAUCUCUUAAAGCUUCUCUCAGUUCGGAUUGCAGGCUGCAACUCGCCUGCAUGAAGCCGGAAUCGCUAGUAAUCGCGGAUCAGCACGCCGCGGUGAAUACGUUCCCGGGCCUUGUACACACCGCCCGUCACACCACGAGAGUUUGUAACACCCGAAGUCGGUGAGGUAACCUUUUUGGAGCCAGCCGCCUAAGGUGGGAUAGAUGAUUGGGGUGAAGUCGUAACAAGGUAGCCGUAUCGGAAGGUGCGGCUGGAUCACCUCCUUUCUAAGGAA
rnacentral:rRNA from 1 species